UUAUCCGGAAUUAUUGGGCGUAAAGCGCCUGUAGGUUGUUUAAUAAGUCUGGUAUUAAAGACUAGGGCUCAACCCUAGAAAAAUAUUGGAUACUGUUAAGCUCGAGUAUGGUAGAGGUAGAGGGAAUUUCUAGUGUAGCGGUGAAGUGCGUAGAUAUUAGAAAGAACACCGGUGGCGAAAGCGCUCUACUGGGCCAUUACUGACACUCAGAGGCGAAAGCUAGGGGAGCAAAAGGGAUUAGAUACCCCUGUAGUCCUAGCCGUAAACGAUGGAUACUAGGUGUUGUAUUUUUUUUACAGUAUCGUAGCUAACGCGUUAAGUAUCCCGCCUGGGGAGUACGCACGCAAGGGUGAAACUUAAAGGAAUUGACGGGGGCCCGCACAAGCGGUGGAGCAUGUGGUUUAAUUCGAUGCAACGCGAAGAACCUUACCAGGACUUGACAUACUACAAAUCUUUUAGAAAUAGGAGAGUGCCUUCGGGAAUGUAGAUACAGGUGGUGCAUGGCUGUCGUCAGCUCGUGCCGUGAGAUGUUGGGUUAAGUCCCGCAACGAGCGCAACCCUCGUUUUUAGUUGCCGUUUUCGGAUCUCUAGAAAGACUGCCGGUGACAAACCGGAGGAAGGUGAGGAUGACGUCAAGUCAGCAUGCCCCUUAUGUCCUGGGCUACACACGUGCUACAAUGAUAAAAACAAAGAGUCGUAAAUCCGCGAGGACUAACUAAUCUCAUAAAUUUUAUCUCAGUUCAGAUUGUAGGCUGCAACU
rnacentral:rRNA from 1 species